rfam:Pteropus alecto contig63841, whole genome shotgun sequence.
GUCUACAGCCAUGCCACCCUUAACAAGCCCGAUCCUGUCUGACCUCAGAAGCUAAGCAGCGUCAGGCCCGGUUAGUACCUGGAUGGGAGAUCACCUAGAAAGAUCAGGUGCUAUAGGCA